rnacentral:lncRNA from 10 species
GUAACACUGUAGCCGCCACCGGCAAGGGGUGCGCGCUGGGGAGCGGACGCUGCAUCCCCUUUCUGCUGCAGGAACCUCUCAUCAGACCGCCUGAGGGAAGCGGCGCCCGGAGACCCGCCCCGGCCCGGUCCACAUUCUCCCCAGGAAGCCGGACUCUAUGGGGCGGGACCCUGGGGGAGCCUGAGCCGAGCCCGGAGCCAGCCCCGAACCCCUGAACCUCCAGCCAGGGGCGCCCCGGGAGCAGCCAGCCCGUGGGCGAGCCGCCCGCCCGCCGAGCAGCCAUGAGGCAGCAGCCCGGCCCGUCGGAGCACAUAGAGCGCCGGGUCUCCAAUGCAGGAGGCCCACCUGCUCCCCCCGCUGGGGGUCCACCCCCACCACCAGGACCUCC